GCAAACUUGGUCAUUUAGAGGAAGUAAAAGUCGUAACAAGGUUUCCGUAGGUGAACCUGCGGAAGGAUCAUUACCGAGAUUGGCUGAGCAUCUUGGGCUAUUGCGCAAGAUGUAAACCAGUCCUUGUACCAGUCCCUUUGUGAACAGAGGAGACCGUGGUCGUCUUGUGCCUAAUUGGAAGGCUUGGAUGUUCACGGCUUCCGUUUUUCAUCUCUCUUUUUUAUUGCUUAAGCCAACAUUUAUGUUGAAAAUGAGCUGUCUCUGCUGAUGCUUUGCGUCUUGUUGGUACUGGACCCGGUUCCGUAACAACAACCGCAAUAAGAAAGCCAAAUGGGAAAAAUAACUUUCAGCAACGGAUCUCUUGGCUCUCGCAUCGAUGAAGAACGCAGC
rnacentral:misc_RNA from 1 species